AGAGUUUGAUCCUGGCUCAGGACGAACGCUGGCGGCGCGCCUAACACAUGCAAGUCGAACGAGCGAGAGAGAGCUUGCUUUCUCGAGCGAGUGGCGAACGGGUGAGUAACGCGUGAGGAACCUGCCUCAAAGAGGGGGACAACAGUUGGAAACGACUGCUAAUACCGCAUAAGCCCACGGCUCGGCAUCGAGCAGAGGGAAAAGGAGCAAUCCGCUUUGAGAUGGCCUCGCGUCCGAUUAGCUAGUUGGUGAGGUAACGGCCCACCAAGGCGACGAUCGGUAGCCGGACUGAGAGGUUGAACGGCCACAUUGGGACUGAGACACGGCCCAGACUCCUACGGGAGGCAGCAGUGGGGAAUAUUGCACAAUGGGGGAAACCCUGAUGCAGCGACGCCGCGUGGAGGAAGAAGGUCUUCGGAUUGUAAACUCCUGUUGUUGAGGAAGAUAAUGACGGUACUCAACAAGGAAGUGACGGCUAACUACGUGCCAGCAGCCGCGGUAAAACGUAGGUCACAAGCGUUGUCCGGAAUUACUGGGUGUAAAGGGAGCGCAGGCGGGAAGACAAGUUGGAAGUGAAAUCUAUGGGCUCAACCCAUAAACUGCUUUCAAAACUGUUUUUCUUGAGUAGUGCAGAGGUAGGCGGAAUUCCCGGUGUAGCGGUGGAAUGCGUAGAUAUCGGGAGGAACACCAGUGGCGAAGGCGGCCUACUGGGCACCAACUGACGCUGAGGCUCGAAAGUGUGGGUAGCAAACAGGAUUAGAUACCCUGGUAGUCCACACCGUAAACG
rnacentral:rRNA from 1 species